rnacentral:lncRNA from 1 species
CCCACCUCUGCCUCCCAAAGUGCUGGGAUUACAGGCGUGAGCCACCAUGCCGGGCCCCCAGCGUUAGUUUUAUGAAGAAUUGGACUGUGUAUAACAGAAACAAACACAUACAUACUGCAAACUUGGAGUCUUAAUGGUAUUUAAUCAAAAGCAAUUCAAUUCACUGUUUAAAAACCUUUGCCACAUUACCUAUUCACUUUAUAAAAAUCACGUUCAUCAUCAUGGAGAUGAAAAAGGUUCCUUGUUAAUGGCGAGUAAGUGGGUGGCUGCAGAAGACUGUGCAAAGAUACAGACAUAAAGGAAGAGAGAAAUUGGGCAGAGAGGGCGUGGGGUAUGGGAAGUAGAAGAAAGGACACAUGUCAUUAAGAACAAGUCGUUCUGUGAAACAGGAAUUUGAACUAAUAAAUCCUGUUGUCUAAUGGAAUGCACCCAAGAAGAAAAUAAACAGCUCAGUUGGUUGAAGACAGAUUUCUAAGAAGUUUUUCUUAUUGAGUACCCAAGGGAAAGCCAGUAUUUCAGAAGCUCUGGUGUCCAUGGUCAAAUGGUAUUUUCAAACAACUGUGGAGAGAAGUCAAGAUGCAUACACUUGGAGUCAUUAAAUAAUGAGGAAGACAAGGUGGUGAGAAAUCAUUGCUAAACUGCAGUUCACCCCGUGCCUGCCAACAGAUACAGAGCAGACAAGCUUGUGUUCCUGAGGUUACGCUGCUCUCAUUUAGAGCACCACUAAGCCAAAUGAAGAAUAUUACUUAUAUAUAGCAGACUCUUCCUCAGGGAGGAACCCGAGGAAAGUCACAAAAAAAGUAGAGGAAGCCGAAAGAGUGUUUUUAGUCUCACACAUCCUGUACUUUUUUUUCAGCUGCUAUUUUGAAAGAUAAACAUUACAUUUGUGGUUGAGUCGUCUUCCAGGUUAGAGAAAACAAAACAAUAUGGUUGUGAAAAGAAGAGGCCUGUGAUGGAGCUAAUGACCUUGGAAAGGCAGACUGCUUUCCUGGUUUUCAAAACAAAACAAACCAAAACAAACCAUUUUUAAAAAGUGGUUGAACAACGGUAAAGCCCUUGCAUCUAUCUCCAGUGCCCCUAGGCCCCCAGCUGGUUCUAGAGUGACCUAGACACAAAGAUGCUCUGUCCAGUGUGAGCAGAGGAAUGGCAUGCCGUCCCUGUAUAGCCAAUUCCACCUUCAGCUUUCAUUCGAUUGGCAUUUUGUAGGCAGGAAGUUGUGUUCAACUCAGGUUUUAUUGAAACUAGGGCAUUUCUAUAUUCUUCUUAAUUUGAAAAUGAAAGCAAAUUUUAUUUAGGAAGCUAGUGGAGUUUUCUUGUGGGUUUGAAGGCAAUCUCACUUUACCAAUGGGUCAAUUCCAUAGAUCCUUUUGUUUCCUAUUAGAUACCAAAAGUGGCUCCUACUUACUAUAUCCAAAACCCUGCUGUCAUCACACAGGGCACCGCUAAAGCCUAUAGUCAGCUGAGAGAUCAGAGAAUUUGAGAGGAAGAAACCAACCUAUAUGGCAUUAGUAGAGCAGUGGGUGGAAAUGCCUGCUGGUCUAGAUAUUAUUGGGCCUCCUUGAGAAAUUACUCAAUAUGACUGAUAACAUGUGUUGAAAGGUGUUGCAGAGUGGCUUCCUUUAUACAGUCUACAGUGGAAUUGACUUGUAAUGGUGCCAUUAGGUCGGAAUUGGAAGACAGAUAGGGAUCCAGAAGACCCCAGAUGCAUGAUUCUUAAACCUCCCAAUAAUAAAAUAUAUUGUUGAUUGGCAUUGUGUUAGGAUUCCUAUGGCUGCUCUAACAAAUUAUCACAAAUUUUGUGGCUUAAAACAACUGAAAUUUAUUCUCUCACAGUUCUGGAGGCAAGAAGUCCUAAAUCAGUGUCACCAGGCAGAAAUCAAGGUACUGGCAGAGCUGUCCUCCCUCCAGAUGCUCCAGUUCUUCAAAGAAAUGCUUCAGGAUCUUGAUCCUACUUGUGUAAAAUUUCCAUUGUCUGCAGCUGAUCUGGCCUCAACAGUUUUGGCAUCCAUCAAAUGGAAAGUUUGCUCAACUUUAAUUUUUCAGUCAUAACUGUGUAAGCUGAACCAAGUGAGAUGCCUAUUGUGUUGGCUUCUGUUUGUGCUGUUACACCAGUCCUCUUCAUUUGGGGCAUGGACAAGAUGAGUUUUUUCCUCACAGAUUGAUGUGGAUGGUCUGCCAUGGCUUAUCUUCUUUCUCUCCCCUCACUAUGGGUGUCCUCCCAAGCGUCAGUGCUAGACUCUCUAACUAACCAUCUGCUCUAUGGAAGUUGCUUAUGAAGGGACACACUAUUCUCUCCAGGUGAUCACUGUCAAAUCUGCAUUUCCACAGCAGCUUUUCUCUGCGCUCCAGCCAAUGAGUCAGCUAGGCAGAAGGUAUAAUAUAUGGGGCACAGACAGGGGAGUAUGGAGUAGGGAGUUUGGGGAGUUGGACAAUAUCAGGAAACAGGGAAUGUUUUCAAAAUAUUUAUAGUAGAUGAGAUUUAGUAGGUCUCGGGUGGGACUUGGGCAACUGUAUGUCAAGGGACUCAGUGAUUCUGAUUUCAGAGAACCACAGUUCCAGAACUCUUAGUUUCAAUUCCUUAUAGUACAACUUUAAAGGUUGCUAUCAGCAUAGCUCUACGACACCGUCUUCCCUUUCCAAUUUCCCCAUUUGGUUCAGUAUUAAUACUCUUGCUUUUUCUGAGAAAUUGGAAUGUUUAAGGGAGUUUAAUUUGCCACAUUUGUACAUUUGAUGUGUUAGGUUGAUAAGAAUUAUUUAAGUACUUGGGGGAGGUUUUGCUUAUUAGGUUAUAAGUUAGCUCUUCAGGCAUUUGAAAUGUUUAAAAUAAAAACUGACUUGUUAAAUUUAUAAAUACAGUUUAAAAUGUUUAAGGAGAUUUAAUUAUCUACUUUGUAAAUGGUACUGAAUUGUUUAAUUAAAUUUGGUUUCUUUAAUAUCAGCUCACCAAAUAUUAAUCAUAGAAAAGUGAAUUAUUCUUCAUUUGCAUAACAAGAUUAGUAAUUUAAACUCAAGAAAAACUAGAUUCUUAAUUGUGUAAUAAAAAUGGAAUAUUAAUUUGCUAUCCCAGUAAGUGUAAAUAGUUUUUUCUACUUCUAAAGAUUCCUUUCCUGCCCAAGACCUAAAAACAAAUGAAUAAACCUCCACAAUAUCAAAAGAUAGAGCCUAAAUAUGUUUAAAUGUAAAUGACACUUAUUCCCCACAGUUUCUAUACUCCUUAUGGUUCUGAAAUUUCUGGAAUAUAAGUGACUCAAAACACCCUUCAUUAAUCUGACGAGAUGAAUUAUGAGCACCUUUCAAGUUAUCUUUUAAAUACAAAGUUCCUUCAACAUUGGAUAUGUAAUUUGGAAUACAUUGUACUAUGGAAUGGAAUUUGCUCACUUGCUUUCCCCUCAACCCAUCAUCUGGUUAACUCCUAGCUCCACUUAAAGUUUAAGAAAAGACUUUCCUAAUCCUCUAACACAAAUUCCGUCUGUUUAUAUCUAUUGAACACCUACUAUGUGCCAGGAACACAUAGUAAUACAAAAGACAUGAAGGCUAUGAUCUAGUAAGAGUGUAAUUGGUACAACCUCUGAAGACGGACCUUUCAUCUAGGGAGGAGCUGAAAGCCCUUUGAAGAUGUUAAUAAGAAAGAGACCUGCUAAUUAAGAUUGCUUAAAAAUAAAAACUCAUCUUCCAGUAUGUUUACAUGAUUGCUGGGAAGGUUCUGACUCAAAGAGAUUUGCUAUCACAGGAUCUCAUUCAGGACACCACAUUACCAUUAGUCACAGUGUCUCCUCUGGCUCCUCUUGGCUGUCAGUUUCUCAGAGCGUCCUUGUUUUUAAUGGCCUUGAAUAUUUUGAAGAGUAUGGGUCAGGUGUUUUGUAGAAAGCCCUUCACUUGGGAUUUAUCUGAUGGAGUUAGAGUUUGGAGGAAAACCCCAAAGGUAAAGUGCCAUUUCCAUCACAUCCUGUCAAGAGUGCUGGUGUUAGUCAGUCAGGGCUGCCAUGGCAAUAUACCACAGACUGUGUGUUUUAAACAACAGAAAUUUGUUAUGAAGCCUGGAAAUAUAAAAUCCGCAGGGUCGGUUUAUUCUGAGGCCUCUCUCCUUGUCGUGCAGAUGGCUGCCUUCUCAUUGUGUUCUCACAUGGCUCUUUCUCCAUGCACCCACCUUCUUAGGGCUUCUCUCCCUGUGUCCUAAUCUCCUCUUCAAAGAAACUACCAUCAGAGUGAACAGGCAACCUACAAAAUGGGAGAAAA